AUUUACGUAGUUUAUAUAAAACAAUACAUUUUCAAUGUUUAAAAAAAAUAAAAUUUUGUAAAUU
rnacentral:tRNA from 1 species